GGACUUUUUGGUGGAAUUGGGGGUUUUUUUAUGGAUUUGGGAUUUUUUUGCCAGAUUUACCAUUAUUUUUUGGUGGGAUUUGGGAUUUUGGGGGGGAUUUGGGAUUUUUUGCAGGAUUUGGGAUUUUUUUUUUUUUGUGGCAUUUUUGGGGUUUUUUUGUUGCUAUUUGGGUUUUUCAAUCCCUGUGGAUUCGGGGGAUUUUUGGGAAUGUUGGGAACGUUUGGAUCCCGUGGUUCCCCCCUGGGUGAUCCCAAGGUUCCUCACUGGGGUUUGUGGGAUCCCUGCCUCAGUUUCCCUUUGGAACGCCGGGGCCUCCGUCCCCAUUUCAGGGCCCGUUCCCGUUAUCCCAACCCCAUUCCAGUUUAUCCCAACCCCAUUCCAGUUUAUCCCGGCCCCAUUCCCAAUCCCAUUCCCAGUUCCCAUUCCCAGUUCCCAUUCCCAGUUCCCAUUCCCAGUUCCCAAUCCCAGUUCCCAUUCCAGUUUAUCCCAAACCCAUUCCCAAUGAUCCCAGCCCCAAUUCCCAGUUCCCAAUCCCAUUCCCGAUUAUCCCAACCCCAUUCCCAGUUCCCAAUCCCAUUCCAGUUCCCAUUCCAGUUUAUCCCAAUCCCAUUCCCAAUUAUCCCAGCCCCAAUUCCUGGUUCCCAAUCCCAUUCCCAGUUCCCAAUCCCAUUCCCAGUAUCCCAGCCCCACUCCUGGUUCCCAUUCCCAGUUCCCAUUCCCAGUUCCCAUUCCCAGUUCCCAUUCCCAGUUCCCAUUCCCAAUAUCCCAACCCCAUUCCCAAUAUCCCAACCCCAUUCACAAUAUCCCGGCCCCAUUCCCAGUAUCCCAAUCCCUUUCCCAAUUGUCCCAAUCCCAAUCCCAGUUCCCAAUCCCAGUUCCCAAACCCAUUCCAGUUUAUCCCAAUCCCAUUCCCAGUUCCCGAUCCCAUUCCUGGUUCCCAUUCCCAGUUCCCAUUCCCAAUAUCCCGGCCCCAUUCCCAGUAUCCCAAUCCCUUUCCCAAUUGUCCCAAUCCCAUUCCCAGUUCCCAUUCCCAUUCCCAAUCCCAUUCCCAGUUCUCCCAGCCCUUUUCCCCAUUAUCCCAAUCCCAGUCCCCAGUUCCCAAUCCCAUUUUUCCCAUUAAAAAAAAACA
rnacentral:lncRNA from 1 species